UACGUAGGCAGCAAGCGUUGUUCGGAGUUACUGGGCGUAAAGCGUGCGUAGACGGUAGCGUAAGUCGGGUGUGAAAGCCCCGGGCUCAACCUGGGAAUUGCAUUCGAGACUGCUCUGCUAGGGUGCGGAAGAGGGGAGCGGAAUUUCCGGUGUAGCGGUGAAAUGCGCAGAUAUCAGGAGGAACACCGGUGGCGAAGGCGGGUCUCUGGGCCGUAACUGACGCUGAGGCGCGAAAGCGUGGGGAGCAAACAGG
rnacentral:rRNA from 1 species